AUUGAACGCUGGCGGCAUGCUUUACACAUGCAAGUCGAACGGCAGCGCGGGCUUCGGCCUGGCGGCGAGUGGCGAACGGGUGAGUAAUGUAUCGGAACGUGCCCAGUAGCGGGGGAUAGCUCCGCGAAAGCGGGAUUAAUACCGCAUACGCCCUGCGGGGGAAAGCGGGGGACCGAAAGACCUUGCGCUAUUGGAGCGGCCGAUGUCGGAUUAGCUAGUUGGUGGGGUAACGGCUUACCAAGGCGACGAUCCGUAGCUGGUCUGAGAGGACGACCAGCCACACUGGGACUGAGACACGGCCCAGACUCCUACGGGAGGCAGCAGUGGGGAAUUUUGGACAAUGGGGGCAACCCUGAUCCAGCCAUGCCGCGUGCGGGAAGAAGGCCUUCGGGUUGUAAAGCACUUUUGUCAGGGAAGAAACGUUGUGGGCUAAUACCCCGGGGAGAUGACGGUACCGGCAGAAUAAGCACCGGCUAACUACGUG
rnacentral:rRNA from 1 species